AGCGAGCGCUGGCGGCAUGCCUAACACAUGCAAGUCGAACGAGACCUUCGGGUCUAGUGGCGCACGGGUGCGUAACGCGUGGGAACCUGCCCUUAGGUUCGGAAUAACUCCCCGAAAGGGGUGCUAAUACCGGAUAAUGUCUUCGGACCAAAGAUUUAUCGCCUUUGGAUGGGCCCGCGUUGGAUUAGCUAGUUGGUAGGGUAAAAGCCUACCAAGGCGACGAUCCAUAGCUGGUCUGAGAGGAUGAUCAGCCACACUGGGACUGAGACACGGCCCAGACUCCUACGGGAGGCAGCAGUGGGGAAUAUUGGACAAUGGGCGAAAGCCUGAUCCAGCAAUGCCGCGUGAGUGAUGAAGGCCUUAGGGUUGUAAAGCUCUUUUACCCGGGAUGAUAAUGACAGUACCGGGAGAAUAAGCUCCGGCUAACUCCGUG
rnacentral:rRNA from 1 species